ACGGCCGUACCAUGCUGAAUAUACCGGUUCUCGUUAGAUCACCGAAGUUAAGCAUCAUUGGGCGCGGUCAGUACUUGGAUGGGUGACCACCUGGGAACACCGCGUGCCGUU
rnacentral:rRNA from 1 species